rnacentral:rRNA from 1 species
GCAUGUCUCAGUACUUGCUAUAACAAGGCGAAACCGCGAAUGGCUCAUUAAAUCAGUUAUGGUUCACUAGAUCGUACAGUUUACACGGAUAACUGUGGUAAUUCUAGAGCUAAUACGUGCAAUCAGCUCGCUUCCUUGUGAAGCGAGCGCAGUUAUUAGAACAAGACCAAUCCGGCCUUCGGGUCGGUACAAUUGGUGACUCUGAAUAACCGAAGCGGAGCGCAUGGUCUCGUACCGGCGCCAGAUCUUUCAAGUGUCUGACUUAUCAGCUUGUUGUUAGGUUAUGUUCCUAACAAGGCGUUUACGGGUAACGGGGUAUCAGGGUCCGAUACCGGAGAGGGAGCCUGAGAAACGGCUACCACAUCUAAGGAAGGCAGCAGGCGCGCAAAUUACCCACUCCCGGCACGGGGAGGUAGUGACGAAAAAUAACGAUGCGAGAGCUAUAAAGUUUCUCGUAAUCGGAAUGGGUACACUUUAAAUCCUUUAACGAGGAUCUAUUGGAGGGCAAGUCUGGUGCCAGCAGCCGCGGUAAUUCCAGCUCCAAUAGCGUAUAUUAAAGUUGCUGCGGUUAAAAAGCUCGUAGUUGGAUCUGGGUAGCUGGACGGAUGGUAUGCUUUACUGUGUUACUGUCUGUUCGGCACCACAAGCCGGUCAUGUCUUGCAUGCUCUUCACUGAGUGUGCUUGGCGGCCGGAACGUUUACUUUGAAAAAAUUAGAGUGCUCAAAGCAGGCGUACGGCCUUGCAUAAUGGUGCAUGGAAUAAUGGAAUAGGACCUCGGUUCUAUUUUGUUGGUUUUCGGAACUCGAGGUAAUGAUUAAUAGGAACAGACGGGGGCAUUCGUAUUGCGGCGUUAGAGGUGAAAUUCUUGGAUCGUCGCAAGACGAACUA